AGCAGUGUGGCUUAGGGGCAAGAGCACGGGCUUGAGAGCCAGAGGACAUGGGUUCUAAUCCCAGCUCCGCCA
rnacentral:tRNA from 1 species